rnacentral:rRNA from 1 species
GCUUACGGCCAUACCACCCUGAGCACGCCCGAUUUCGUCUGAUCUCGGAAGCUAAGCAGGGUCGGGCCUGGUUAGUACUUGGAUGGGAGACCGCCUGGGAAUACCAGGUGCUGUAAGCU